UGGGGAAUCUUGGACAAUGGGGGCAACCCUGAUCCAGCCAUGCCGCGUGAGUGAUGAAGGCCUUAGGGUCGUAAAGCUCUUUCGCCUGUGAAGAUAAUGACGGUAGCAGGUAAAGAAACCCCGGCUAACUCCGUGCCAGCAGCCGCGGUAAUACGGAGGGGGUUAGCGUUGUUCGGAAUUACUGGGCGUAAAGCGCACGUAGGCGGACCAGAAAGUUGGGGGUGAAAUCCCGGGGGCUCAACCCCGGAACUGCCUCCAAAACUAUUGGUCUAGAGUUCGAGAGAGGUGAGUGGAAUUCCAAGUGUAGAGGUGAAAUUCGUAGAUAUUUGGAGGAACACCAGUGGCGAAGGCGGCUCACUGGCUCGAUACUGACGCUGAGGUGCGAAAGUGUGGGGAGCAAACAGGAUUAGAUACCCUGGGUAGUCCACGCCGUAAAACGAUGAGUGCUAGUCGUCGGCAGGCAUGCCUGUCGGUGACGCAGCUAACGCA
rnacentral:rRNA from 1 species